rnacentral:rRNA from 1 species
GACGAACGCUGGCGGCGUGCCAAAUACAUGCAAGUAGAACGCUGAAGAGAGGAGCUUGCUCUUCUUGGAUGAGUUGCGAACGGGUGAGUAACGCGUAGGUAACCUGCCUUGUAGCGGGGGAUAACUAUUGGAAACGAUAGCUAAUACCGCAUAACAAUGGAUGACACAUGUCAUUUAUUUGAAAGGGGCAAUUGCUCCACUACAAGAUGGACCUGCGUUGUAUUAGCUAGUAGGUGAGGUAAUGGCUCACCUAGGCGACGAUACAUAGCCGACCUGAGAGGGUGAUCGGCCACACUGGGACUGAGACACGGCCCAGACUCCUACGGGAGGCAGCAGUAGGGAAUCUUCGGCCAUGGGGGCAAACCUGACCGAGCAACGCCGCGUGAGUGAAGAAGGUUUUCGGAUCGUAAAGCUCUGUUGUAAGUCAAGAACGGGUGUGAGAGUGGAAAGUUCACACUGUGACGGUAGCUUACCAGAAAGAGACGGCUAACUACGUG